CGAGCUGAACGAGGUCCACGUCUUAGUUUCACAUCAUUUCUCAUCCCAGGUGAUUACCACACAUUUCCUGCAUGGCUUUUUCACCAUAAAACUACGUCUGCGCACAAAGUGUGCCCAUUGAUUGUACAUCGUCUGAAUAAGGAAUGUUUCUUUACUUUCUUUCCGUGAGCUCGUAUACUUAAACUCUGAGCCAACAGGUCCAACAUUUUGAUUGGCUGCUUGUCAGCGACCAGCAGCAUGAUGCUCGGUUCAAUAUUUCUUCCUGAGGAAUUGGAUGCAAGGAGGGAAAAGAAAUCUCUGAAUCUACUUUUGUUGGAAUCAGGAACAAAGGGACAAAGAAUGUUUUUCAUUGAUUUUCCCACGUCUCACACACACGGAAGGACACGAGACGUCACAGAGCAUUCAAACAGGUACUUGGCAAGAAAAGCAUUUAAAUGAGUCCCGGAUGUUUGUGGCGUCCUGUCAAGUUUACAGGUGAUCGAACAGUAAACCUGAUGGAUGUUAUUACUUCUACUCAUUUAUUUUUAGCCAUUGUGAUCCUCAUAACUUGAUUGUGUCCCACCGUGUGCAUCGGAGUUCUCAAGUGCCCAUUAUAUUUCUUCUUUUGUACAUUCUGUCUGUUGCGUUGGAUCGAAAUACGAUUGUUGGUGUUUGAUACGUUUUAUACCGUUUCGAGUGGACAAAUCUACAUUUCCAGUUUGGUUUCAUCGUUUUUUUUGUCAAAUGAAAGUUGCUAUUCCGUGGAGGCAAAAGAAUCCAGCUAGCCAGUUAGCCUGUUAGCCAGUUAGCAGGUAACGCUGGUUAGCAUUAGCAUUUUGACCCCGGCCAAAGGAGGCCAGCAGACAUGGAGCCAUUGGGGCCUCACGGUGUUCAGACGCUGCAGCAAAGUCCUCAGUCGUUGUUUCGAUGCUGAAUGCAAACGUCGCUCAGCAAAGACAAAUCAGAAUAAUAACAAGUGCAUGUUCAAUGAAAAAAUAAUAAACUACAAUGAAAGCUGCCAGAGUUCAUGUUGUUUCCAUUAUUGAGCUGAAUGUACGAGUGUUAAAGGUUCUCUGACUGUUGAAGCAUGAAAUAUAACAAAGGGAUCUUCUUCCUUUAUUGGUCGACUGAAUCAGAUCCGGUUCGAGUUUAAAGGUCAAUUUAAUUUAAGCUUAAGUUGAUGAGAUGGAAUUCUCCUCCUCAGUAAUCUGGGUUUGAAGUGUAUUGCAAACAUAAGUAAGAGAAAGUAAAAACAUCAAGUGGGGAAAAAUAGAGUAAGAAAUAGGAACACGUCACAUUUUCCAUGAUAAAUAUUCACACGGACGUCUGAGCGCUGACAGCGUGACUUCAGUUUCCUGUGUAUUCACACACACUCGCCACUAGAAUAACGCAUCGACCCUCCAUGGCAGCCGCUUGUUGUGGUUUGGUCUUUAAAUACUCGCUGUGUUCGCUCGUCUACGACAACGUCUCGUAGCAAAAGACCUUCAGGGACAAAAGACAAAGCGUCCAAUGAGCUUUCAGAAGGGAAAAGUGACACG
ensembl:lncRNA